GAUGAACGCUGGCGGCGUGCUUAACACAUGCAAGUCGAACGGUGAAGCAGGAGCUUGCUCUUGUGGAUCAGUGGCGAACGGGUGAGUAACACGUGAGCAACCUGCCCCUGACUCUGGGAUAAGCGCUGGAAACGGCGUCUAAUACUGGAUAUGUGAUGUGACCGCAUGGUCUGCAUCUGGAAAGAAUUUCGGUUGGGUGUGGGCUCGCGGCCUAUCAGCUUGUUGGUGAGGUAAUGGCUCACCAAGGCGUCGACGGGUAGCCGGCAUGAGAGGGUGAACGGCCACACUGGGACUAGGACACGGCCCAGACUACUACGGGAGGCAGCAGUGGGGAAUGUUGCACAAUGGGCGGAAGCCUGAUGCAGCAACGCCGCGUGAGGGAUGACGGCCUUCGGGUUGUAAACCUCUUUUAGCAGGGAAGAAGCGAAAGUGACGGUACCUGCAGAAAAAACACCGGCUAACUACGUGCCAGCCGCCGCCGUAA
rnacentral:rRNA from 1 species